AGUGAACGCUGGCGGUAGGCCUAACACAUGCAAGUCGAACGGCAGCACAGUAAUAGCUUGCUCUUACGGGUGGCGAGUGGCGGACGGGUGAGGAGUACAUCGGAAUCUACUUUUUCGUGGGGGAUAACGUAGGGAAACUUACGCUAAUACCGCAUACGACCUACGGGUGAAAGCAGGGGAUCUUCGGACCUUGCGCGAUUGAAUGAGCCGAUGUCGGAUUAGCUAGUUGGCGGGGUAAAGGCCCACCAAGGCGACGAUCCGUAGCUGGUCUGAGAGGAUGAUCAGCCACACUGGAACUGAGACACGGUCCAGACUCCUACGGGAGGCAGCAGUGGGGAAUAUUGGACAAUGGGCGAAAGCCUGAUCCAGCCAUACCGCGUGGGUGAAGAAGGCCUUCGGGUUGUAAAGCCCUUUUGUUGGGAAAGAAAAGCAGCAGGUUAAUACCCCGCUGUUCUGACGGUACCCAAAGAAUAAGCACCGGCUAACUUCGUG
rnacentral:rRNA from 1 species